rnacentral:lncRNA from 1 species
UGAAAACGAAAACAAACAUAAGAAAACACAAAAGGAAAAAAUGCAGAAAAUAAACUAAAUAAAAAAAAUGGAGAUAAAAGAAAAUGAAAAUGAAUGAAACAAAUCAGAGAAGAAAGGAAACAGAAUGAAAAAAUCAGAGAAGAAAAAGAUAUGAAACAAAAGAAAAAGAAAACAAAAUAAAAACUGAAGGAAGAACAAAAAACCAAAGAAAUAAAAA